CCUACGGGUGGCUGCAGUGGGGAAUAUUGCACAAUGGGCGCAAGCCUGAUGCAGCCAUGCCGCGUGUGUGAAGAAGGCCUUCGGGUUGUAAAGCACUUUCAGCGGGGAGGAAGGCGUUAAGGUUAAUAACCUUGUCGAUUGACGUUACCCGCAGAAGAAGCACCGGCUAACUCCGUGCCAGCAGCCGCGGUAAUACGGAGGGUGCAAGCGUUAAUCGGAAUUACUGGGCGUAAAGCGCACGCAGGCGGUCUGUCAAGUCGGAUGUGAAAUCCCCGGGCUCAACCUGGGAACUGCAUUCGAAACUGGCAGGCUAGAGUCUUGUAGAGGGGGGUAGAAUUCCAGGUGUAGCGGUGAAAUGCGUAGAGAUCUGGAGGAGUACCGGUGGCGAAGGCGGCCCCCUGGACAAAGACUGACGCUCAGGUGCGAAAGCGUGGGGAGCAAACAGGAUUAGAUACCCGGGUAGUC
rnacentral:rRNA from 1 species